UAACACAUGCAAGUCGAACGGAGUUUAUGAAGUUUUCGGACAGAUUAAACUUAGUGGCGGACGGGUGAGUAACGCGUGGGUAACCUGCCUCAUACAGGGGGAUAACAGUUGGAAACGACUGCUAAAACCGCAUAACAUUGCGACACCGCAUGGUGAUGCAAUUAAAUAUUUAUAGGUAUGAGAUGGGCCCGCGUCUGAUUAGCUAGUUGGUGAGGUAAUGGCCCACCAAGGCGCCGAUCAGUAGCCGGCUUGAGAGAGUGACCGGCCACAUUGGGACUGAGACACGGCCCAAACUCCUACGGGAGGCAGCAGUGGGGAAUAUUGCACAAUGGGGGAAACCCUGAUGCAGCGACGCCGCGUGA
rnacentral:rRNA from 1 species